rnacentral:rRNA from 1 species
CCUACGGGAGGCAGCAGUGGGGAAUCUUGCGCAAUGGGCGAAAGCCUGACGCAGCCAUGCCGCGUGAAUGAUGAAGGUCUUAGGAUUGUAAAAUUCUUUCACCGGGGACGAUAAUGACGGUACCCGGAGAAGAAGCCCCGGCUAACUUCGUGCCAGCAGCCGCGGUAAUACGAAGGGGGCUAGCGUUGCUCGGAAUUACUGGGCGUAAAGGGAGCGUAGGCGGACAUUUAAGUCAGGGGUGAAAUCCCGGGGCUCAACCUCGGAAUUGCCUUUGAUACUGGGUGUCUUGAGUAUGAGAGAGGUGUGUGGAACUCCGAGUGUAGAGGUGAAAUUCGUAGAUAUUCGGAAGAACACCAGUGGCGAAGGCGACACACUGGCUCAUUACUGACGCUGAGGCUCGAAAGCGUGGGGAGCAAACAGGAUUAGAUACCCUGGUAGUCCACGCCGUAAACGAUGAUUGCUAGUUGUCGGGAUGCANGNAUUCGUGCGCNGCUACGACAUAAGACAUCCGCCGUCGGGAGGUACGGUCGCGAAGAAGUUAAACUAACUAAGUAGUUAAGUUAGUACGGUUCGUUGAGACGUUCGCCGACGGACGACGACGAGGGAGGAGG